rnacentral:rRNA from 1 species
AUUGAACGCUGGCGGCAGGCCUAACACAUGCAAGUCGAGCGGAAACGAGUUAUCUGAACUUCGGGGAACGAUAAGGCGUCGAGCGGCGGACGGGUGAGUAAUGCCUAGGAAAUUGCCUGAUGUGGGGGAUAACCAUUGGAAACGAUGGCUAAUACCGCAUGAUGCCUACGGGCCAAAGAGGGGGACCUUCGGGCCUCUCGCGUCAGGAUAUGCCUAGGUGGGAUUAGCUAGUUGGUGAGGUAAGGGCUCACCAAGGCGACGAUCCCUAGCUGGUCUGAGAGGAUGAUCAGCCACACUGGAACUGAGACACGGUCCAGACUCCUACGGGAGGCAGCAGUGGGGAAUAUUGCACAAUGGGCGCAAGCCUGAUGCAGCCAUGCCGCGUGUAUGAAGAAGGCCUUCGGGUUGUAAAGUACUUUCAGUCGUGAGGAAGGUAGUGUAGUUAAUAGCUGCAUUAUUUGACGUUAGCGACAGAAGAAGCACCGGCUAACUCCGUGCCAGCAGCCGCGGUAAUACGGAGGGUGCGAGCGUUAAUCGGAAUUACUGGGCGUAAAGCGCAUGCAGGUGGUUUGUUAAGUCAGAUGUGAAAGCCCGGGGCUCAACCUCGGAAUAGCAUUUGAAACUGGCAGACUAGAGUACUGUAGAGGGGGGUAGAAUUUCAGGUGUAGCGGUGAAAUGCGUAGAGAUCUGAAGGAAUACCGGUGGCGAAGGCGGCCCCCUGGACAGAUACUGACACUCAGAUGCGAAAGCGUGGGGAGCAAACAGG